GACGAACGCUGGCGGCGUGCUUAACACAUGCAAGUCACGGGGGCCCGCAAGGGUAACCGGCGAACGGGUGCGUAACACGUGAGCAAUCUGCCGUACACUGGGGGAUAGCCGGCCCAACGGCCGGGUAAUACCGCAUACGUUCUUCGGGUGGCAUCACUUGAAGAAGAAACCUCCGGGGGGGUACGAGGAGCUCGCGGCCUAUCAGGUAGUUGGUGGGGUCACGGCCUACCAAGCCAUUGACGGGUAGCUAGUCUGAGAGGAUGGCCAGCCACAUUGGGACUGAGAUACGGCCCAGACUCCUACGGGAGGCAGCAGUGGGGAAUAUUGCGCAAUGGCCGCAAGGCUGACGCAGCGACGCCGCGUGGGGGAUGAAGCAUUUCGGUGUGUAAACCCCUGUUGCUCGGGACGAACAACGAGUUUCGACUCGUCUGACGGUACCGGGUGAGGAAGCACCGGCUAACUCCGUGCCAGCAGCCGCAGUAACAC
rnacentral:rRNA from 1 species